UGCGCCCGCUUGGCGAAACGCCCUGGAAACCGGUGAUCACCGGUUUCCAGGGCGUUUCGCCAAGCGGGCGCA
rfam:Devosia limi DSM 17137 NODE_115, whole genome shotgun sequence.